rnacentral:rRNA from 1 species
AUUGAACGCUAGCGGGAUGCUUUACACAUGCAAGUCGAACGGCAGCGCGGACUUCGGUCUGGCGGCGAGUGGCGAACGGGUGAGUAAUGUAUCGGAACGUGCCCAGUAGCGGGGGAUAACUACGCGAAAGCGUAGCUAACACCGCAUACGCCCUACGGGGGAAAGCAGGGGAUCGUAAGACCUUGCACUAUUGGAGCGGCCGAUAUCGGAUUAGCUAGUUGGUGAGGUAACGGCUCACCAAGGCGACGAUCCGUAGCUGGUUUGAGAGGACGACCAGCCACACUGGGACUGAGACACGGCCCAGACUCCUACGGGAGGCAGCAGUGGGGAAUUUUGGACAAUGGGGGCAACCCUGAUCCAGCCAUCCCGCGUGUGCGAUGAAGGCCUUCGGGUUGUAAAGCACUUUUGGCAGGAAAGAAACGUCGCGGGCUAAUACCCCGUGGAACUGACGGUACCUGCAGAAUAAGCACCGGCUAACUACGUG